rnacentral:rRNA from 1 species
GCUUACGGCCAUACCACCCUGAGAACGCCCGAUCUCGUCUGAUCUCGGAAGCUAAGCAGGGUCGGGCCUGGUUAGUACUUGGAUGGGAGACCGCCUGGGAAUACCAGGUGCUGUAAGCG